rnacentral:lncRNA from 1 species
UGACAAAAAAUAUGAAAACUUGACGUUCGUGACGUCACAUACAAUAUGAAAACUCAACGUUCGUGACGUCACAUACCAAACAAUGACGUCAUUCAAAAAAAUUACCUAUUUUGAGGAAAAUUUUUCUUAAGCAAAAAAAAAACCAAAACUGACUUUAUGUAAAAAAAAAGUAGGGGUGUGAUAAAGGGUAUGCGAUAAAGGGUAGGGGUGUGAUAAAGGGUAUGCGAUAAAGGGUGCGCAUCAAAGUUGCGCGAUAUGGAUUAAACAGCAGGCUAUUUAUCACAUAUAUGCAAAACUACUGUAUUUACUACUAAACAUAUGAUAAAGA